GACGAACGCUGGCGGCGUGCUUAACACAUGCAAGUCGAACGAGAGCGUAGAGAAAGCUUGCUUUUUCUACAAUCUAGUGUCAAACGGGUGAGUAACGCGUAAACAACCUGCCCUACGGAUGUGGACAACAGCUGGAAACGGCUGCUAAUACCGAAUACUUUCCUAAAGUCGCAUCACUAUCGGAAGAAAUAAUUGCCUCUAUUUAUAAGCUAUCGCCGGAGGAGGGGUUUGUGUCUGAUUAGCUUGUUGGGGGGGUAACGGCCUCAAAAGGCGACGAUCAGUAGCCGGUCUGAGAGGAUGAACGGCCAAAUUGGGAAGGGAACACGGUCCAGAAUCCUACGGGAGGCAGCAGUGGGGAAUCUUCCGAAAAGGGCGAAAGCCUGACGGAGCAACGCCGGGUGAGUGCAGACGGCCUUCAGGUUGUAAAGCUCUGUUAUACGGGACGAAUAAUAUGGUGGUUAAUACCCAUGAGAAGUGACGGUACCGGAAGAGAAAGCCACGGCUAACUACGUG
rnacentral:rRNA from 1 species